CGCUCUUUGAAACACAAAAAUAAAGAGUCGUGCCUGCCCAGUGAUAAUUUUAAACGGCCGCAGUACCCUGACUGUGCUAAGGUAGCAUAAUCACUUGCUCUUUAAUUGAGAGCUAGAAUGAAUGGCUUGACGAAAACAUUGCUGUCUCUUUUACAUUAACUAAAAAUUAAUCUUUAGAUGAAAAAGUCUAAAUAACUUCAAAAGACGAAAAGACCCUAUCGAGCUUAAAAACAAUUUUAAUUCUAACCUACUAGAUAAAACAAAAUUAAAACAUAAUUUUUUGUUGGGGCGACAGAAGAACAUUCAAAGCUUCUUUUAAUUUAAUAAACUAAUAAGUUUAAAAGAUCCAUUAAUAUUGACUAAAAGAAAAGUUACCGUAGGGAUAACAGCGUAAUUUCUUUAGAGAGCUCAAAUUGAAAAAGAAGUUUGCGACCUCGAUGUUGGAUUAAAAAAUCUUUUUGAUGCAGCAGUCAAAAAAGAAGGUCUGUUCGACCUUUAAAAUUUU
rnacentral:rRNA from 1 species